rnacentral:rRNA from 1 species
ACUCCUACGGGAGGCAGCAGUGGGGAAUAUUGCACAAUGGGCGCAAGCCUGAUGCAGCCAUGCCGCGUGUAUGAAGAAGGCCUUCGGGUUGUAAAGUAACUUUCAGUCAGUGAGGAAGGUGGGUAUGUUAAUAGCAAUCAUUCAUUUGACGUUAGCUGCAGAAGAAGCACCGGGCUAAACUCCGUGCCAGCAGCCGCGGUAAUACGGAGGGUGCGAGCGUUAAUCGGAAUUACUGGGCGUAAAGCGCAUGCAGGUGGUUUGUUAAGUCAG